CCCGCACAAGCGGCGGAGCAUGCGGAUUAAUUCGAUGCAACGCGAAGAACCUUACCAAGGCCUGACAUACACCGGUAACGCCCAGAGAUGGGUGCCCCUUUGUGGUCGGUGUACAGGUGGUGCAUGGUUGUCGUCAGCUCGUGUCGUGAGAUGUUGGGUUAAGUCCCGCAACGAGCGCAACCCUCGUCCUAUGUUGCCAGCGGGUCAUGCCGGGGACUCAUGGGAGACUGCCGGGGUCAACUCGGAGGAAGGUGGGGAUGACGUCAAAUCAUCAUGCCCCUUAUGUCUUGGGCUUCACGCAUGCUACAAUGGCCGGUACAAAGGGCUGCGAUACCGCGAGGUGGAGCGAAUCCCAGAAAGCCGGUCUCAGUUCGGAUUGGGGUCUGCAACUCGACCCCAUGAAGUCGGAGUCGCUAGUAAUCGCAGAUCAGCAACGCUGCGGUGAAUACGUUCCCGGGCCUU
rnacentral:rRNA from 1 species